AUCCUUUUGUGUUUCAUAAACUAAUGAUUGUGUUUUUAUGCUAUUGUGUGAGGUAUGCCUCCCUCAGACCUUGUUACCAGUCUGCACAUGAAAAAGUUUUAAA
ensembl:snoRNA